GCCAGCAACAAAGCUGUCAUCAUUCCUGCUUUUCAUCUCUGCCAGUCAGUGACAAUGCAACAUUCAGGCUUUGACAAAUAUUGGUUUCCAGGUCAACUAACGCAACAUCCUCCAGCCUCUUGUUCUCAAAUGGUAUUCUUGAGCCUUGGACCAAGGUAAAGUCUCUUUUGUCAACCAGUCUUGCUUUGGAAGAAGUGUUUUCUUUCUGAAGAUCUCCUUGAACCGGUUGAAGUUCUUCAAUGAGGACAUGGAGAUGAGACGACUCCUUCUGUGCGCCGGCAGACUUCCAGACGCCUCAACCACCUGAAUUAUCUAAAGCACAGCCAUUGUGGACUGAGUAUGUGUGCUACAAAUGCAGGCAUGCGAGACUGGGAAGUCCAUGUAGUUUUAGUGAUUGAGGUCUUGAAUUUCAGUUGUUGUACGGGCAAACAUCAACUCUUCAAUUUGUUCUUGUUGCUAUUUUCCCAUUUUAUUUUUUUUGUGUUUUUUACUGUAAAUUUAAAAAUGCCGCAACUGAGAUUAGCAUGCUGCUAUCCUAUCUUGACAGCCCAUUGACGACUUGAGUCCCUUUCCCUGGGUAAGUCUCUUUUCACAACUCCAAGUCCUAGUCUUGUUCGACCUCAGAUGGUUCCGUACUAUAGCAACUCAAGCCAGACAACCAGCUGGACAUCAAUGCAUGUAACA